UACGUAGGGUGCAAGCGUUGUCCGGAAUUAUUGGGCGUAAAGAGCUCGUAGGCGGUCUGUCGCGUCGGCUGUGAAAACCCGGAGCUCAACUCCGGGCCUGCAGUCGAUACGGGCAAACUGGAGUGUUGCAGGGGAGACUGGAAUUCCUGGUGCAGCGGUGAAAUGCGCAGAUAUCAGGAGGAACACCGGUGGCGAAGGCGGGUCUCUGGGCAACAACUGACGCUGAGGAGCGAAAGCGUGGGGAGCGAACAGG
rnacentral:rRNA from 1 species